CCCAGAAAGUCUGCGGGUGAUGCAAUGCGGGGAGAAGUGGAUGGUGGAUGGCUGAGCUCAUGCUGCCACCCAGAGGACUGUGGGCAUGAUGGAGAAAUGGGCUGCAGGAACCCCAUGGAGCUCAGCAAGGAGCAGUGCGCGGAGAUAUGGUGGGCAUAUUGGAUGAGAUGAGCUCCAGAGGUUCCCUACAACCCCAACCAUCCCAUGACCGUGUGGGGUUCUUUCCAAACCCAACCAUCCCAUGGUCCUAUAGUGUUCCUUCCAACCCCAACCAUCCCAUUAUCAUGUGAGGUUCCUUCCAACCCUAACCAUCCCAUUACCCAGUGGGGUUCCACCCAAACCCAACCAUCCCAUUAUCAUGUGAGGUUCCUUCCAACCCCAACCAUCCCAUGGUCUUAUAGUGUUCCUUCCAACCCCAACCAUCCCAUGAUACUAUGGAGUUCCUUCCAACCCCAACCAUCCUCUGACCCUGUGAGAUUCCUUCCAACCCCAACCAUCCCAUGGUCCUAUGGAGUUCCUUCCAACCCCAACCAUCCCACAACCCUGUGGGGCUCCUUCCAACCCAACCAUCCCAUGGUCUAAUAGUGUUCCUUCCAACCCCAACAAGUCCGUGGUCCUAUGGUGUUUCUUCCAACCCCAACCAUCCCAUGGUCUUGUGGGGCUCUCUCCAAUCCCAACCAUCCCAUGAUCCUACAAAGUUCCUUCCAACCCCAACCAUUCCAUGACCCUGUGGGGUUCCUUCCAACCCCAACCAUCCCAUGUUCCUGUGAGGUUCCACCCAACCAUAACCAUCCCAUUAUCAUGUGAGGUUCCUUCCAACCCCAACCAUCCUAUUAUCAUGUGAGAUUCCUCCAACCCCAACCAUCCCAUGGUCUUGUGGGGUUCUUUCCAAACCCAACCAUCCCAUGGUCCUAUAGUGUUCCUUCCAACCCCAACCAUCCCAUUAUCAUGUGAGGUUCCUUCCAACCCCAACCAUCCCAUGCUCCUGUGGGGUUCCACCUACCCCAACCAUCCCAUUAUCAUGUAAGAUUCUUUCCAACCCCAACCAUCCCAUGGUCUUGUGGGGUUCUUUCCAAACCCAACCAUCCCAUGGUCCUAUAGUGUUCCUUCCAACCCCAACCAUCCCAUUAUCAUGUGAGGUUCCUUCCAACCCCAACCAUCCCAUGUUCCUAUGCGAUUCCUUCCAACCCCAACCAUCCCAUUAUUAUGUGAGGUUCCUUCCAACCCUAACCAUCCCAUUACCCAGUGGGGUUCCACCCAAACCCAACCAUCCCAUUAUCAUGUGAGGUUCCUUCCAACCCCAACCAUCCCAUGGUCUUGUGGGGCUCUUUCCAACCCCAACCAUCCCAUGAUCCUAUAGUGUUUCUUCCAAUCCCAACCAUUCCAUGGUCCUGUGGGGCUCCUUCCAACCCCAACCAUCCCAUAUCCCUAUAGUGUUCCUUCCAACCCCAACCAUCCCAUGGCCCUAUGAAAUUCCUUCCAACCCCAACCAUCCCAUUAUCCUGUGAAGUUCCUUCCAACCCCAACCAUCCCAUGAUCCUAUAGUGUUCCUUCCAACCCCAACCAUCCCAUGGUCCUGUGGGGCUCCUUCCAACCCCAACCAUCCCAUGGCCCUAUGGUGUUCCUUCCAACCCCAACCAUCCCAUGGUCCUAUGAAGUUCCUACCAACCUCAACCAUCCCAUGGUCCUAUGGAGUUCCUUCCAACCCCAACCAUCCCACAACCCUGUGGGGCUCCUUCCAACCCAACCAUCCCAUGGUCUAAUAGUGUUCCUUCCAACCCCAACAAGUCCGUGGUCCUAUGGUGUUUCUUCCAACCCCAACCAUCCCAUGGUCUUGUGGGGCACUUUCCAAUCCCAACCAUCCCAUGAUCCUACGAAGUUCCUCUCAACCUCAACCAUUCCAUGACCCUGUGGGGUUCCACCCAACCCCAACCAUCCCAUUAUCAUGUGGGGUUCCACCCAACCCCCACCAUCCCAUUAUCAUGUGAGGUUCCUUCCAACCCCAACCAUCCUAUUAUCAUGUGAGAUUCCUUCCAACCCCAACCAUCCCAUGGUCUUGUGGGGCUCUUUCCAACCCCAACCAUCCCAUGAUCCUAUAGUGUUUCUUCCAAUCCCAACCAUUCCAUGGUCCUGUGGGGUUCCUUCCAACCCCAACCAUCCCAUGAUCCUGAGAGGUUCAUUCCAACCCCAACCAUCCCAUGGCCCUAUGAAAUUCCUUCCAACCCCAACCAUCCCAUUAUCCUGUGAAGUUCCUUCCAACCCCAACCAUCCCAUAUCCCUAUAGUGUUCCUUCCAACCCCAACCAUCCCAUGAUCCUAUAGUGUUCCUUCCAACCCCAACCAUCCCAUGGUCCUGUGGGGCUCCUUCCAACCCCAACCAUCCCAUGGCCCUAUGGUGUUCCUUCCAACCCCAACCAUCCCAUGGUCCUAUGAAGUUCCUACCAACCUCAACCAUCCCAUGGUCCUAUGGAGUUCCUUCCAACCCCAACCAUCCCACGACCCUGUGGGGCUCCUUCCAACCCAACCAUCCCAUGGUCUAAUAGUGUUCCUUCCAACCCCAACAAGUCCGUGGUCCUAAGGUGUUUCUUCCAACCCCAACCAUCCCAUGGUCUUGUUAGGCUCUUUCCAACCCCAACCAUCCCAUGAUCCUAUGAAGUUCCUUCCAACCCCAACCAUCCCAUGGUCUUAUAGUGUUCCUUCCAACCCCAACCAUCCCAUGAUCCUGUGGGGUUCCACCCAACACCAACCAUCCCAUGGUUCCUUCCAACGCCAAACAUUCCAUGAUCCUAUGAAGUUCCUUCCAACCCCAACUAUCCCACGACCCAGUGAGGUUCCUUCCAACCAUCCCAUGACCCCAUGCAAUUCCUUCCAACCCCAACCAUCCCAUGAUCCUAUGAAGUUCCUUCCAACCCCAACCAUCCCAUGGUCCUGUGGGGCUCCUUCCAACCCCAACCAUCCCAUGGUCCUGUGAGGUUCCUUCCAACCCCAAGUAUCCAACAACCCUGUGGGGUUCCUUCCAACCCCAACCAUCCCACAACCCCGUGAGGUUCCUUCCAACCAUCCCAUGGUCCUAUGGUGUUUCUUCCAACCCCAACCAUCCCAUUAUCAUGUGAGAUUCCUUCCAACCCCAACCAUCCCAUGGUCUUGUGGGGCACUUUCCAAUCCCAACCAUCCCAUGAUCCUACGAAGUUCCUCUCAACCUCAACCAUUCCAUGACCCUGUGGGGUUCCACCCAACCCCAACCAUCCCAUUAUCAUGUGGGGUUCCACCCAACCCCCACCAUCCCAUUAUCAUGUGAGGUUCCUUCCAACCCCAACCACCCCAUGAUCCUAUGAAGUUCCUUCCAACCCCAACCAUCCCAUAUCCCUAUAGUGUUUCUUCCAAUCCCAACCAUUCCAUGGUCCUGUGAGAUUCCUUCCAACCCCAACCAUCCCACGAUCCUGUGAGGUUCCUUCCAACCCCAACCAUUCCAAGGUCCUAUGAAGUUCCUUCCAACCCCAACCAUCCCAUGGUCCUAUGAAGUUCCUUCCAACCCCAACCAUCCCAUGGUCUUGUGGGGCUCUUUCCAAUCCCAACCAUCCCAUGAUCCUACGAAGUUCCUUCCAACCCCAACCAUCCCAUUACCCAGUGGGGUUCCACCCAACCCCAACCAUCCCAUUAUCAUGUGAGAUUCCUUCCAACCCCAACCAUCCCAUGACCCUGUGGGGCUCUUUCCAACCCCAACCAUCCCGUGGUCCUAUGGAGUUCCUUCCAACCCCAACCAUCCCACAACCCUGUGGGGCUCCUUCCAACCCAACCAUCCCAUGGUCUAAUAGUGUUCCUUCCAACCCCAACAAGUCCGUGGUCCUAUGGUGUUUCUUCCAACCCCAACCAUCCCAUGGUCUUGUGGGGCUCUUUCCAACCCCAACCAUCCCAUGAUCUUGUGAGGUUCCUUCCAACCCCAACCAUUCCAUGGUCCUAUAGUGUUCCUUCCAACCCCAACCAUCUCCUGACCCUUUGGGGUUCCUUCCAACCCCAACCAUCCCAUGAUCCUAUGAAGUUCCUUCCAAUCCCAACUAUCCCACGACCCCAUGCAAUUCCUUCCAACCCCAACCACCCCAUGACCCCGUGAGGUUCCUUCCAACCAUCCCAUGACCCCAUGCAAUUCCUUCCAACCCCAACCAUCCCAUGGUCCUAUGGUGUUUCUUCUAACCCCAACCAUCCCAUGAUCCUGUGAGAUUCCUUCCAACCCCAACCAUUCCAUGGUCUUGUGGGGCUCUUUCCAACCCCAAACAAUCCCAUGACCCUGUGAGGUUCCUUCCAACCCCAACUAUCCAACAACCGUGUGGGGUUCCUUCCAACCCCAACCAUCCCACCACCCCGUGAGGUUCCUUCCAACCAUCCCAUGGUCCUAUGGUGUUCCUUCCAACCCCAACCAUCCCAUUAUCAUGUGAGGUUCAUUCCAAACCCAACCAUCCCAUGGCCUUGUGGGGCUCUUUCCAACCCCAACCAUCCCAUGAUUCUAUGAAGUUCCUUCCAACCCCAACCAUCCCAUGGUCCUAUGCGAUUCUUUCCAACCCCAACCAUCCCAUGAUCCUGAGAGGUUCCUUCCAACCCCAACCAUCCCAUGGUCCUAUGGUAUUCCUUCCAACCCCAACCAUUCCACAACCCUGUGGGGCUCCUUCCAACCCCAACCAUCCCAUGGUCCUGUGAGGUACCUUCCAACCCCAACCAUCCCACGACCCUGUGGGGCUCUUUCCAACCCCAACCAUCCCAUGAUCCUCUGAAGUUCCUUCCAACCUCAACCAUCCCCUGACCCUGUGAGAUUCCUUCCAACCCCAACCAUCCCGUGGUCCUAUGGUUUUCCUUCCCACCCCAACCAUUCCAUGGUCCUGUGAGGUUCCUUCCAACCAUCGCCUGACCCUGUCCGAUUCCUUCCAACCCCAACCAUCCCAUGAUCCCACGAGUCACCACCAGAUGGCUGCUGACCCACAGCGUUUCCCACAGCAUCCACU
ensembl:lncRNA